ensembl:misc_RNA Metazoa_SRP Metazoan signal recognition particle RNA
GCCAGGCGUGGUGGCACACACCUGUAGUCCCAGAUACUUGGGAGACUGAGGCAGGAGGAUCACCUGGGACCAGGAAUUCCGGGCUGUAGUAUACUAUGCCAGUGCAGUGUCCACACUCAAUUUGGCAUCAGUUUGGUGACCUCCUGAGAGCGGGGGAACUGGCCCUCGUUGGAAAUGGAGCAGGUCAGAACUCCUGUGUUAAUCACUGAUGGGACCAUGCCUGUGAAUCGCCACUGCACUCCAUCUGGACAACAUAGCGAGACCCUAUCUCU